AAGCCAAGCCAAGGCACUGCGGCCUCCUCCUGGCAGCAAGCACCGAGGACGUGGCCACUAGAUGUUGCUGCCGGCCAGGCCGAAGCUGCUCCAUCCCCUUCCCGGAGCCAUGAGGGCUCUUCCCACCUGCUGCUCAAAUCAAACGGUGUGGAAGGAGGAUAUUCUCAUAACAUCAAGCGGCAGAGCCGAGGAGGAUAUUCUUGCUGUAAUUCUUGCUGAAUACAUCUACCCGGCGAUUUAUUUUGGUGGGAAGGUAACUGGGUGAAGGCAGCCUGAUGAAUUUCAGAUCGAUGGCAUCUGAGAUUUAACCUUGAAACAGAGACCACCUGAAGGCUCUUCAAGUCACUUUGUGAUGGUUUCCUCAGCCCCUUCCUCAACAUGGCUGACGGCGCGUCCUCGCGACGGGCUCGUUGCUGCUCUUAUUUCACAUCAGCUUUUCCAUGGCGAAGCUGUCGCGCGGUGAGAGGGGGGGGUGGGGAGAGGGGGCAGGGACUGGAGGCUAAAAAAAAAAAAAAAAAAAAAACAACCCCCAAAACUGAAAAAAAAAAAAAAAAAAGAAAAAAAACAACCCAAAAAAGUGGUGUUAGCAGGUGACCUGAAUUCCUCUAGAGGCUUCUCAGUCGGAGCCGGUGCCGGGGGGGCCGUGGGAGGCGAACGUGUCCUCGUGUGGGUGCAGGGGGUGCGGGGGGAAGACCGACAGAAAGAGUGCAAAGGGGACGGUUACGGCUGCCACCGGGGUUUCGAAGGCAUUCUGCUACGAGGAGGACAAAUCCUUAGCUUAAAUGCUCACAAAGAACAUCACCUAAGACAGCUCUUUAUACCUUUACAUACUGUAUCAAUAAUUUACUUUGAACUGCAGUAAACAAAAUACAUUUCUUAAAUAAUUUACUAUUUAUUUGUUUUGUUUUUUUUUUUUUUUUAUCUCUCUGUAAAUUUAACUUUUUCCUUUUUAUCGUCUUUUUUUUUUUUUUUCUUUGUAACACAAGAAACUGUGUUUGUGCACGUUAGUUCAGAUUAUUGCGACAUUUAACCUGAAUUUCAGUUAAGAAAAAAAAAAAAAAAAAAAAGCAACAGGACAGUUGUA